GGAGCAAACAGGAUUAGAUACCCUGGUAGUCCACGCUGUAAACGAUGAGUGCUAGGUGUUGGGGAGACUCAGUGCCGCAGUUAACACAAUAAGCACUCCGCCUGGGGAGUACGGUCGCAAGACUGAAACUCAAAGGAAUUGACGGGGGCCCGCACAAGCAGCGGAGCAUGUGGUUUAAUUCGAAGCAACGCGAAGAACCUUACCAGGUCUUGACAUCCUCUGACCAUCCAAGAGAUUGGACUUUCCCUUCGAGGACAGAGUGACAGGUGGUGCAUGGUUGUCGUCAGCUCGUGUCGUGAGAUGUUGGGUUAAGUCCCGCAACGAGCGCAACCCCUAUAUUUAGUUGCCAUCAGAUUAAGCUGGGCACUCUAGAUAGACUGCCGUAGACAAUACGGAGGAAGGUGGGGAUGACGUCAAAUCAUCAUGCCCCUUAUGACCUGGGCUACACACGUGCUACAAUGGCCUGAACAACGGGUUGCGAAAUGGCGACAUGGAGCUAAUCCCACAAAUCAGGUCUCAGUUCGGAUUGCAGGCUGCAACUCGCCUGCAUGAAGUCGGAGUUGCUAGUAAUCGCGGAUCAGAAUGUCGCGGUGAAUGCGUUCCCGGGCCUUGUACACACCGCCCGUCACACACCAUAGAGUUGGCA
rnacentral:rRNA from 1 species